AGAGUUUGAUCCUGGCUCAGGAUGAACGCUAGCUACAGGCUUAACACAUGCAAGUCGAGGGGAAACGACAUCGAAAGCUUGCUUUUGAUGGGCGUCGACCGGCGCACGGGUGAGUAACGCGUAUCCAACCUGCCCAUCACUUGGGGAUAACCUUGCGAAAGUAAGACUAAUACCCAAUGAUAUCUCUAGAAGACAUCUGAAAGAGAUUAAAGAUUUAUCGGUGAUGGAUGGGGAUGCGUCUGAUUAGCUUGUUGGCGGGGUAACGGCCACCAAGGCUACGAUCAGUAGGGGUUCUGAGAGGAAGGUCCCCACAUUGGAACUGAGACCACGGGUCCAAACUCCGUACGGGAGCA
rnacentral:rRNA from 1 species